CCUUCGAUAGCUCAGCUGGUAGAGCGGAGGACUGUUGAUCCUUAGGUCGCUGGUUCGACUCUGGCUCGAAGGA